rnacentral:rRNA from 1 species
UAGGGAAUCUUCCACAAUGGACGAAAGUCUGAUGGAGCAACGCCGCGUGAGUGAAGAAGGAUUUCGGUUCGUAAAACUCUGUUGUAAGGGAAGAACAAGUACAGUAGUAACUGGCUGUACCUUGACGGUACCUUAUUAGAAAGCCACGGCUAACUACGUGCCAGCAGCCGCGGUAAUACGUAGGUGGCAAGCGUUGUCCGGAAUUAUUGGGCGUAAAGCGCGCGCAGGCGGUCCUUUAAGUCUGAUGUGAAAGCCCACGGCUCAACCGUGGAGGGUCAUUGGAAACUGGGGGACUUGAGUGCAGAAGAGGAAAGUGUAAUUCCAAGUGUAGCGGUGAAAUGCGUAGAGAUUUGGAGGAACACCAGUGGCGAAGGCGACUUUCUGGUCUGUAACUGACGCUGAGGCGCGAAAGCGUGGGGAGCAAACAGG